rnacentral:rRNA from 1 species
AGAGCUUGCUCUGUGGAUCAGUGCCGAACGGGUGAGUAACACGUGAGCAACCUGCCCCUGACUCUGGGAUAAGCGCUGGAAACGGCGUCUAAUACUGGAUAUGUGACGUGACCGCAUGGUCUGCGUCUGGAAAGAAUUUCGGUUGGGGAUGGGCUCGCGGCCUAUCAGCUUGUUGGUGAGGUAAUGGCUCACCAAGGCGUCGACGGGUAGCCGGCCUGAGAGGGUGACCGGCCACACUGGGACUGAGACACGGCCCAGACUCCUACGGGAGGCAGCAGUGGGGAAUAUUGCACAAUGGGCGAAAGCCUGAUGCAGCAACGCCGCGUGAGGGAUGACGGCCUUCGGGUUGUAAACCUCUUUUAGCAGGGAAGAAGCGAAAGUGACGGUACCUGCAGAAAAAGCGCCGGCUAACUACGUGCCAGCAGCCGCGGUAAUACGUAGGGCGCAAGCGUUAUCCGGAAUUAUUGGGCGUAAAGAGCUCGUAGGCGGUUUGUCGCGUCUGCUGUGAAAUCCGGAGGCUCAACCUCCGGCCUGCAGUGGGUACGGGCAGACUAGAGUGCGGUAGGGGAGAUUGGAAUUCCUGGUGUAGCGGUGGAAUGCGCAGAUAUCAGGAGGAACACCGAUGGCGAAGGCAGAUCUCUGGGCCGUAACUGACGCUGAGGAGCGAAAGGGUGGGGAGCAAACAGGCUUAGAUACCCUGGUAGUCCACCCCGUAAACGUUGGGAACUAGUUGUGGGGUCCAUUCCACGGAUUCCGUGACGCAGCUAACGCAUUAAGUUCCCCGCCUGGGGAGUACGGCCGCAAGGCUAAAACUCAAAGGAAUUGACGGGGACCCGCACAAGCGGCGGAGCAUGCGGAUUAAUUCGAUGCAACGCGAAGAACCUUACCAAGGCUUGACAUAUACG